AACGUAGGUGGCAAGCGUUAUCCGGAUUUACUGGGCGUAAAGGGUGUGCAGGCGGGACGACAAGUGGUGUAUGAAAUCUCCCAGCUUAACUGGGAUAGGUUAUGCCAGACUGUCGUUCUAGAGGACGAGAGAGGGGGGUGGAAUUCCGGGUGUAGUGGUGAAAUGCGUAGAGAUCCGGAGGAACCCCAGAGGCGAAGGCGGCCCCCUGGCUCGUACCUGACGCCCAGCCACGAAAGCAUGGGGAGCGAACGGG
rnacentral:rRNA from 1 species